rnacentral:rRNA from 1 species
CCUACGGGAGGCAGCAGUGGGGAAUUUUGGACAAUGGGCGCAAGCCUGAUCCAGCUAUUCCGCGUGUGGGAUGAAGGCCCUCGGGUUGUAAACCACUUUUGUAGAGAACGAAAAGACACCUUUUAAUAAAGGUUGUUGCUGACGGUACUCUAAGAAUAAGCACCGGCUAACUACGUGCCAGCAGCCGGGGUAGACGUAGGGGUCGUGCGUUAAACGGAAUUUCUGGGCGUAAAGGGUGCGCAGGCGGUUGAGUAAGACAGGUGUGAAAUUCCCGAGCUUAAGUCGGGAAGGGCAGAGGUGACUGGUCGACGAGAGGGUGUCAGAGGGAGGUGGAAUUCGAGGUGUAGCAGUGAAAUGCGUAGAUAUGUGGAAGAACACCGAUGGCGAAGGCAGCCUCCUGGGACAUAACUGACGCUCAGGCACGAAAGCGUGGGGAGCAAACAGGAUUAGAUACCCCGGUAGUC